rnacentral:lncRNA from 1 species
CGAGACUGCGGGCAGGGGCCCGCCGCGCCCAUCCCGAUGGCUGGAGGCGUCUGAGGGGCGGACGGAGGCGGCGGCGGCGGCGGCGGCGGGAGCGGGCGCGGGCGGCGAGUGGGGAGCGGGGUCGGGAGUGGAGCAGCCGCCGCGGCGGGAGUGGACCGAGCCUUGCCGGUACGCACCUGCCCGCAGCGCCCGCGGAGCGCGCAGCGCGGCCCGAGCGCGACGACCUCCCGAGCAGCGGCCGAGGCGGCGGUGUGGGCGCGUCAGGCCGCGACGAGGGCGCUGAGACAAGUUUACAUGUAUUGGAGACCAGACCAGAAGCCCUUCUGAAUUAAGGAAAUUGAAGUGCUUGCAUAAGCCGUACUUGCAUAUGAGAGCUAAUUGUAAGGGAUUAAAGACAUUAGCAACUGUAUCCUCAGCUUCGUUAUACUUCAGUCAUACUUAACGAUUAACAGCCAAGAUCUUGGUCAGAAACACAGCCUCCAUUUAUGACAUUCUCUUGGGAAAAUAAGUCUGUUGUUUAACAAGGUGAGUUAGUUUUUACUGUGAUUUCAGGAAUAUUGUCUAACAUGAGUAGGGUGAACAGGCAGGGCGGCUUGCACUGAGCCUGAUUUUAGCCUGUACCUGUAAGGAUUAAGGUGUUAUUUCUGAGCCUGCUGGGACCCCCGCGGCUCACCUGGGUGGGAGAGUGGGUUGUCCCUGAGCCAAAAAACUGCUGGACACCACCUUGUGUGCUCUUAGGAUUGCCAUGCGAGCAUCCUGACAGCUUUUGACCAGUAGCGGUUCAUGAUUACUGAGAUGAGGUGGCUUUGAGAUUCUUGGUUGCCAGGUUGCCACUGACCCCCAUUCCCUGCAGUAACUUCCUCUAGGUCUGCAUGUGAUAGCUAUCCUAAAUGUCAGGU